rnacentral:snRNA from 1 species
AUCCCAGUGCAGGGGCAAUACAUAUCAAAGUGAAGUUCGUGAAUUCUUGCCAUUCCCGUCUCUAUUUACGAUAACACUAACGUUAAAAUGAUAGGGUUUAUCCUGAUUGUAUGUUUUUGCCAAUUGAAAACUAAAUUAACGACCAGUCGAACUGAGUUUCACUCAGUACGCAAUUUUUACGUUAUAAAUUG